CGAAUAUGAAUACAGAUAUAGAUAUUAGUAGGAUGCUCAAAUUUCUAUACAUAUCCAAAUAGAUUCAGAUAUAAAAAUAGAUUCGGACGGAUAUUAUUCGAUCUAUUUUGGUCCUUACUUGCCCUUUUAUCUUCACUAGCUGCUUGGGCUUGUUGGGCCAACACAUUUGGAGUUUUAUUCUAGCUCAUUGGAGCGCCAUCAUUCCAAAACUUAAAAGAGAAAAAUGAUUAUGAUAAAAAAAACUGUAACGGGUAACCAUUAUGGAGGAGAUAAUCAUAAGCAAGUGCAAUAUAAGAUGUUCUGAUUUGCAAAUUGCAGUGUGGGGAAACAAAAGCACUUUGUCGUUCUGGCAGCCAAGAUAAUUUGAAGCCUAACACUAAUACACUAUGUACGUCUCCCUCGAAACAAGUCCUCGACCGUUGUCCUCGGCCCUGUGAAGCUCCCACCGAUAACGUUGAAGGUGUUUGCAGGAGAUGGUGAAGGAGAAGAGAUGGCAGGAUUUGAUGAUAGAUUUAGGCUACGUAUGCCUCGUUGCCGUCGAACCGGAUAAGAGAUGUGCUGACUGCAAGGUGAGGCCUUGGAGCAACCUCGAGGGUCAUGGAGCGCACAACUGCAGUUUCGAUGGUAAGGCCUUCGUCGGAUCUCCAAGUCCGAGGCGGCGAUGCAACACUCGAAGACGCACCGGAGCAAUCCAUCAGCUCCGGUGGCCAUCGUCUUCCUCAGUGCAGCGGCGCCGCCCCUUGAGCUCUUUGCUGUUUUGGUUCGACUGUCUUCCUAGCUUAGGCACGCUUGCGGCUGUAUUUAUAGCUGAAAUAGAGAGCAAGAGAUGACAAGGCUCGCACCCGAAGUUCCGAGGCUUGGCCUGGGGGACUCCGCACUAGAAUCUAAGCAAAGCUUGUCGCCAAGAGAUGAGGGUGGUUGCUGAGGACCCCAGCUUACCUUGGACCUCAUCGAUGGCAACUUGUUAGGGAGAGGGGAAAAAUAGGCAAAAAAAGACAAGGGCAUGAACCUUAUCGAC
rnacentral:lncRNA from 1 species